UACGUAGGUCCCGAGCGUUGUCCGGAUUUAUUGGGCGUAAAGCGAGCGCAGGUGGUUUAUUAAGUCUGGUGUAAAAGGCAGUGGCUCAACCAUUGUAUGCAUUGGAAACUGGUAGACUUGAGUGCAGGAGAGGAGAGUGGAAUUCCAUGUGUAGCGGUGGAAUGCGUAGAUAUAUGGAGGAACACCGGUGGCGAAGGCGGCUUCCUGGUCUGCAACUGACACUGAGGCGCGAAAGCGUGGGGAGCAAACAGG
rnacentral:rRNA from 1 species